GGCCUCGUAGCUCAGUUUUGCUAGAGCAUUGGUUGUACUAAAGCCUUCCUCUUGCUGGCGUGGGUUCGUAUCCCAUCGAGGCCA
rnacentral:tRNA from 1 species